rnacentral:rRNA from 1 species
AGGGAAUAUUGCGCAAUGGACGGAAGUCUGACGCAGCGACGCCGCGUGAGCGAUGAAGGCCUUCGGGUCGUAAAGCUCUGUCCUUGGGGAAGAAGGUCUUCGGACUUGACGGUACCCAAGAAGAAAGCCCCGGCUAACUACGUGCCAGCAGCCGCGGUAAUACGUAGGGGGCGAGCGUUGUCCGGAAUUACUGGGCGUAAAGGGUGCGUAGGCGGCCCUUUAAGUCAGAUGUGAAAGCCCGCAGCUUAACUGCGGAAUUGCAUUUGAAACUGGAGGGCUUGAGUGUCGGAGAGGGUAGUGGAAUUCCCAGUGUAGCGGUGAAAUGCGUAGAUAUUGGGAGGAACACCAGUGGCGAAGGCGACUGCCUGGACGAUAACUGACGCUGAGGCACGAAAGCUAGGGGAGCAAAC